rnacentral:lncRNA from 1 species
UUGUCAAUCGUUGGGGAGCCCGUGCUCACAGGAAACAAGAUCUAAAAGAAGAAGAGUAAGACGACAGGGAUGCCUAGAAUUUACAAAUAUGACGAAAUUUGGUCCAUCAAGAACCAAAAAAACAGAUAGAUGUGUUAUAAGUACAAAUAAAGGAAAAUGAGAUCUAAAAAAACAACACGACCAAUUACAAGCGUAGAGACACAUCCACGCGCCACAAGCACAGCAAACAUGCCGUCAGUAAGCGUGUGGUCCAUCUACAUGCAUCCAAAUGUUUUAAACAACGAAAUAAUAACCAAUGAAACAAUAGCGAUAAGUUGACUAGCGACCGGAGGCCGGAUGCAAACACUUUGUUUUCUGGCACCAUCUUGCGCACCCCAUGCCCGACGAUAGCUUGACUCGUCGACAAGUCUCGGUCGUCGCCGCUUGUGACGCGCGCCGGCGCGGACCGGACGUGUACUACUUGACCCUGAAAUGAAUUUUUGUACGUCAACGCCAAGGAAAAGUUCAUUCACGGUCAUGUCAAGAUCGAAAUGGGCCGGGAAAACCCGAGGAAAACCGGACGGAAAAUGAGCUGAAACUGUACGAGCACCAAAACCAACCAAAGAGACGGCGAUGAGUAGAAUAACGACUUGCGCACAACGGCGUCUAGGCAUGCACGUACCUGAAGUAUUGACGGAUACACUCCACUUGAGGAGAGGUAUAGUACGUAGUCGAUCGUUAGUACGCGCCAUGACGCCCCGGCGGCGCGGCGCCGCCCUUGCCGGCACGGCGGGGGCGGCGGCGGCGCGGCAGCCACGAGAGGAGGGUUGUGAGCACCCGCUUCAGCACCAGGCCUCGCCUGGGGACGACGUACCGCGCGGGCGUAGCUCUAGCGGAGGCGGUGGCCUGUGGGAUUGGGCGCGUGAACGGUGCCAUGUGGGAAUGGGUGUUUCGCAGGACGAGAGAGAGAUCAAGGGCAGAGGUGGGCGAUAGACUGGCUGAAUGGUGAGGUGCUCGAGAGCAGUGAGGCCAGGGCAAAGUCACUUUGCCAAAGUAUUUAUAGAGUGCGUUUGGGCGUUGGGUCGUUGGGACGUCCGAUGCUGAAAG